GACGAACGCUGGCGGCGUGCUUAACACAUGCAAGUCGAACGGAAAGGCCCUUCGGGGUCCUCGAGUGGCGAACGGGUGAGUAACACGUGGGUGAUCUGCCCUGCACUUUGGGAUAAGCCUGGGAAAAUGGGUCUAAUACCGUAUAGGACCACGCGCUUCAUGGUGUGUGGUGGAAAGCUUUUGCGGUGUGGGAUGGGCCCGCGGCCUAUCAGCUCGUUGGUGGGGGAAUGGCCUACCAAGGCGACGACGGGUAGCCGGCCUGGGAGGGUGACCGGCCACACGGGGCCUACGAUACGGCCCAGACUCCUAGGGGAGGAAGCGGUGGGGAAUAUGGCCCAGUGGGCGCAAGCCUGAUGAGGCGACGCCGGGUGAGGAAUACCGGCCUUGGGGUUGAAAACCUCUUUCGAAGGGGACGAAGCGCUAGUGACGGUACCUAUAGAAGAAGCACCGGCCAACUACGUG
rnacentral:rRNA from 1 species